CGUGUCAGACAGAUCGGGAUACUCAUCAAAUAACAUGUGAAAACCGGGAUGUCGUCUCCGGCCAAUGGCGGGCCGUUAACCAAGCGUCGUAACUGAGCGUUGUAACUUACUGACAAGAUGCCGACGGAUUACAAAGGCGGAGAGCUCCCACAACCUGUCAACAAGGAGUUUUCAUCACAUCGCUGGCGCGGUUCCUU
rnacentral:sRNA from 1 species